GUACGGAGGGGGCUAGCGUUGUUCGGAAUUACUGGGCGUAAAGCGCACGUAGGCGGAUCAGCCAGUCAGGGGUGAAAAUCCCGGGGCUCAACCCCGGAACUGCCUUUGAUACUGCUGGUCUGGAGUUCGGGAGAGGCGAGUGGAAUUCCGAGUGUAGAGGUGAAAUUCGUAGAUAUUCGGAAGAACACCAGUGGCGAAAGGCGGCUCACUGGCCCGUUACCGACGCUCA
rnacentral:rRNA from 1 species